rnacentral:ncRNA from 2 species
AAGGUACAUCAAGACGAUCGAGAGAUCGAGCAACCGGGGUCAGUCCCACGGUGCUAAGCGAAGUUCGCAGAUGUGCAGAUUUAAUCUGAAAAAAUACUGGAGA